GGUCGGUUGGCGCAAUGGUAGCGCGUGGCCCUCCUAUCUCCUACAGAUAUCCCAAGGCCAAGGUUGCGGGUUCGAGUCCCGUGCUGAUCG